AGUUUAUUCAAAGUUUAUUUAAAACUUAAAUUAAAUUUAUGGAUUCAAAUUAAAAUUUAAAUUGUAAUUUUAAAUUUGAAUUUGAAUAAAAUCGAAAUUUACUUUUAUAUUUCGAAUUAUCCACUCAACUUCAAAGUUUAUUUUUUUUUAAAAAAAUAUAGAUUUUAAAAUUUGACAUUAUUUCAAAAUUUUGAUGUAAAUUUUUAAUUUUUAAUUUUUAAUUUGAAUUAAAUUAAUAUAUUAUAAAGAUAAAGUUAAUAUAUUAAUCUGAUUACAUUUUUUAUAUUUACCCGAACCAAACACCGACAAUGAGAAUGAUUUAUUCCGAUUCCGAUUUAGGUGAUGAAACAGACAGAAGUAGGUAAUUAGUCAUUCCGAUUCCGAUUCCAGCUUAUUUCGAUUCCGAUUCUGAUUUCGAUUCCGACUUCGAACCAAACACGCCCUAUAAUUCUUCAUAUAAGGGUCAAAAGUCGAAAUCAGUAACUCCUUUAUACUUCCCUAAAUAUAGUAACUCUAGAGUGAGGCUACUAUACUUCUGGAAGCACGGAGCCUUCCGUGCUUCCAGGUUGUUUUCGAUAUUGUGACUUUCGAAUCAUCGAUCGGCUCCAUUAAACUUGAUCUAGAGUAUUUGAAGUACUUAGAAAAUAAAUUUUAUGAUUUUUCGAUAUCAUUUGCCCAGUAAUCGAAAGGACUCAAAAUCAAUAAUUUUAAUGACCGUGGUGAGCCGUUUGCAAGUUUAACGGUGUAGAAAUAUCCAAAUCACGUGAAAUUUUGAUAGAAAAUUCUUUAAACUAUAUAAAACAAGAUCAAUAUUUUUGAUUUAAAAUUUUAAUGUCAUGUUAUCACGUUUUGUAAGAUUUUUAUUUUCAGCCGUUGAUUUUGAAACCCUUAGUUCACUAGGCAAAUGAUAUCGAAAAAUUGUAAAAUUUAUUUUCUAGGUACUUCAAAUACUCUAGAUCAAGUUUAAUAGAGCCGAUCGACGAUUUGAAAGUCGCAACAUAAAAAACUAUCUGAAAGCACGGAAGGCUCCGUGCUUCCAGAAGCAUAGUAAGUUCGUGAAAAUAUUAUGUCUAGUUUGAGAUA
rnacentral:lncRNA from 1 species